rfam:Manacus vitellinus contig20041, whole genome shotgun sequence.
CCCCUGGUGGUCUAGUGGUUAGGAUGCAGCGCUCUCAACGUCGCGGCCCAGGUUUGAUUCCCGAUCAGGGAA